rnacentral:lncRNA from 1 species
GUUUCUGUGAAGGACUGAUGUCUAUGAGGGGGUUCUGUGAAGGAAUGAAUUCUAUGAUGGGAUUUCUGCGAAGGAGUGAUGUCUAUGAGGGGGGUUUUGUGAAAGAGUGAUUUCUAUGAGGGGGUUUAUGUGAAGGAGUGACGUCUAUGAGGGGGGGUAUGUGAAGGAGUGAUGUCUAUGAGGGGGUUUAUGUGAAGGAGUGAUGUGUAUGAGGGGGUUUCUGUGAAGGAGUGAUGUGUAUGAGGGGGUUUCUGUGAAGGAGUGAUGUCUGUGGGGGGUUUAUGUGAAGAAGUGAUGUGUAUGGGGAGGUUUAUGGGAAGGAGUGAUGUCUAUGACGAGGUUAUGUGAAGGAGUGAUGUCUAUGG